rnacentral:rRNA from 1 species
UACGUAGGGGGCGAGCGUUGUUCGGAAUUAUUGGGCGUAAAGCGCGUGUAGGCGGUUCGGUAAGGCGGGUGUGAAACCCCAGGGCUCAACCCUGGGCCGGCAUCCGCGACUGCCGGGCUGGAGUGCGGGAGGGGAGAGCGGAAUUCCUGGUGUAGCGGUGAAAUGCGUAGAUAUCAGGAGGAACACCGGUGGCGAAGGCGGCUCUCUGGACCGUAACUGACGCUGAGACGCGAAAGCUAGGGGAGCAAACAGG